CACAACUGCCCUGUUCCAGCAAGAUCAUUCUCAUAUUCACGAUUCUGUCCUAUCGUCUUAGGGUUAUUGUCCCCAAACUUAAACGAUCAGGUCAUUCAACGUCUGCUCAUAGCUCUGUCCAUGGGGAGCCAUGAGUGGGGAAGGCUAGAGUGGCUGUGAAUCAUAAAGGUAGCCUCCUUCUUGGCUUAUUCACCUCUGUCCUG